AAGCCAUGCAUGUCUAAGUAUAAGCAAUUAUACCGUGAAACUGCGAAUGGCUCAUUAAAUCAGUUAUCGUUUAUUUGAUAGUACCUUACCACUUGGAUAACCGUGGUAAUUCUAGAGCUAAUACAUGCUAAAAACCCCGACUUCGGAAGGGGUGUGUUUAUUAGAUAAAAAACCAAUGCCCUUCGGGGCUCUUUGGUGAUUCAUGAUAACCUAACGGAUCGCAUGGCCUUGCGCCGGCGACGGUUCAUUCAAAUUUCUGCCCUAUCAACUUUCGAUGGUAAGGUAUUGGCUUACCAUGGUUUCAACGGGUAACGGGGAAUUAGGGUUCGAUUCCGGAGAGGGAGCCUGAGAAACGGCUACCACAUCCAAGGAAGGCAGCAGGCGCGCAAAUUACCCAAUCCCGACACGGGGAGGUAGUGACAAUAAAUACUGAUACAGGGCUCUUUUGGGUCUUGUAAUUGGAAUGAGUACAAUUUAAACCCCUUAACGAGGAACAAUUGGAGGGCAAGUCUGGUGCCAGCAGCCGCGGUAAUUCCAGCUCCAAUAGCGUAUAUUAAAGUUGUUGCAGUUAAAAAGCUCGUAGUUGAAACUUGGGUCUGGCUAGCGGGUCCGCCUCACCGCGUGCACUUGUCCGGCUGGACCUUUCCUUCUGGAGAACCUCAUGCCCUUCACUGGGUGUGUUGGGGAACCAGGACUUUUACUUUGAAAAAAUUAGAGUGUUCAAAGCAGGCCUUUGCUCGAAUACGUUAGCAUGGAAUAAUAGAAUAGGACGUGCGGUCCUAUUUUGUUGGUUUCUAGGAUCGCCGUAAUGAUUAAUAGGGAUAGUCGGGGGCAUCAGUAUUCAAUUGUCAGAGGUGAAAUUCUUGGAUUUAUUGAAGACUAACUACUGCGAAAGCAUUUGCCAAGGAUGUUUUCAUUAAUCAGUGAACGAAAGUUAGGGGAUCGAAGACGAUCAGAUACCGUCGUAGUCUUAACCGUAAACUAUGCCGACUAGGGAUCGGGCGAUGUUUCUAUCUUGACUCGCUCGGCACCUUACGAGAAAUCAAAGUUUUUGGGU
rnacentral:rRNA from 1 species